AGUAUGUGGAUGAGGAGGUUCGGCAGCGGCCCUGUCUGGCUUUAAUCCCUUGGUCUGGACCCUUGUGUGUUCCUGUCUCUACCACCUCUUCUGCCCUGAAAGGUGUCAUCCAGUUGGGCAUCAUCCACACAUUGGGCAGCCUGUGCCAGAGGCAAAAGAGAGAUGUACUCUUCAAGGACUUUGAAGAUGUGGAGAGCAGCUCCUUCCCCAGUAAGGGCAGUAACCUGACCCCAGCCCACCACUAUGGUGACUUCAGGUUCAAUGCUUACGCUCCCCUCGGCUUUCGCUACCUCAGGGAGAUGUUUGGCAUCCGGGCC